GACAGAGGGUGCAAACGUUGCUCGGAAUCACUGGGCUUAAAGCGUGUGUAGGCGGGCCCGUAAGUGUCUUGUGAAAUCCCACGGCUCAACCGUGGAACUGCUGGGCAUACUGCGGGUCUUGGGCCAACCAGGGGCAGCCGGAACAAGCGGUGGAGCGGUGAAAUGCGUAGAUAUCGCUUGGAACGCCGAAGGUGAAAACAGGCUGCUGGGGUUGCGCCGACGCUGAGACACGAAAGCCAGGGGAGCAAACGGG
rnacentral:rRNA from 1 species